rnacentral:rRNA from 1 species
AACGAACGCUGGCGGCAUGCCUAACACAUGCAAGUCGAACGAGACCUUCGUGUCUAGUUGCUCACGGGUGCGUAACGCGUCGGAACCUUCCCUUAUGUUCGGAAUAACUCCCCUUAAUGGGUGCUAAUACCGGAUAAUUUCUUCUGACCAAAGAUUUAUCGCCUUUGUAUGGGCCCGCGUUCGAUUAGCUUUUUGGUAGUGUAAAAGCCUACCAAGGCUACGAUCCAUAGAUGGUCUGAGAGGAUGAUCAGCCACACUGGGACUGAGACGCGGCCCAGACUACUACGGGAGGCAGGAGUGGGGAAUAUUGGAAAAUGGGCGAAAGCAUGAUCGAGCAAUGCCGCGUGAGUGAUGAAGGCCUUAGGGAUGUAAAGCUCUUUUACACGGGAUGAUAAUGACAGUACCGGGAGAAUAAGCUCCGGCUAACUCCGUG